UGAUAGGUCGAAGGUGUAAGUGCAGCAAUGUAUUUAGCUUAUCGAUACUAAUAGGUCGAGGACUUGACCAA
rnacentral:rRNA from 1 species